rnacentral:tRNA from 1 species
GGUCUUGUGGCCCAAUGGAUAAGGCAUCUGACUACGGAUCAGGGGAUUCCAGGUUCGAGUCCUGGCAAGAUCG